AACUAAGAAGACCUGCCCGCGGAACAGUUCAUAGCAGCAACCAUGCUGCUUAGCUUUCUUGUUCUAUGUGGGGUCUUUCAGAGCAUAUAAGACGCUGCUUUCAGCUUUGUCCCGAACAGGGCCAGUUUAUGAGAGAACGCUGAGAGGACCGCCCGGGUCAGCAGAUUACCUCAUCCAGGGCCGGUCCAAAGUACUAUGGAGCCUUAAGUAAAUUUAGACUCGGGGCCCUACUUCCUUUCAGAUCCCAGAAAAUAAUGAAAAAAAAAAAAGCUUUGGUCCUUUGGGUCAAGCCAAAAGUACCAUCAUUUCCAGUAUAGUUACUCCCAAUUUACAUAAAUAAAUGUUUAUUUCAAUCCAAGCUAAAAUUUCUUAUAAGAGAUUGAUGUUAUGGCAGAUUACUCAGUGACAUGUUUUGUAAUGAUAAAGUUUUGAUUUGUAUUUUUUCAGCACCAUCUUCACCACCAGGAGAAAAAAAUCUGCAUCAACUACAAAGUAAAGCAGGUCACAGGUGAUGAGAUGGCAGUGUAAACUCUGCAAACAUGAGGAGUCAUCAAAAGUGUCACUACUCAAACAUUAUCGAGUGAAACAUGGUCUCACAGUUCGCAUGAAACGGAGGGCUUCACAGACCGGAGUUUUCCGCCUGUUCCCCCUCUAGAGCCGAGCCUCGCUUCAGUUUUCGGCACCAAAAUGACCAAGGUCG